GUCACGUCAGCAGCACAUAUACUAAAACUGGACUGAUUCAAAGAUUAGCAUGGCCCCUGUACAAGGAUCACAUGUAACUUUGUGAGGCAUCCCAUAUUUUA
rnacentral:snRNA from 1 species